rnacentral:rRNA from 1 species
UGGGGAAUUUUGGACAAUGGGGGCAACCCUGAUCCAGCAAUGCCGCGUGUGUGAAGAAGGCCUUCGGGUUGUAAAGCACUUUUGUCCGGAAAGAAAUCGCCCUGGCUAAUAUCCGGGGUGGAUGACGGUACUGGAAGAAUAAGCACCGGCUAACUACGUGCCAGCAGCCGCGGUAAUACGUAGGGUGCGAGCGUUAAUCGGAAUUACUGGGCGUAAAGCGUGCGCAGGCGGUUGUGCAAGACAGAUGUGAAAUCCCCCGGGGCUUAACCUGGGAAUGGCAUUUGUGACUGCACGACUAGAGUGUGUCAGAGGGGGGUAGAAUUCCACGUGUAGCAGUGAAAUGCGUAGAUAUGUGGAGGAACACCGAUGGCGAAGGCAGCCCCCUGGGAUAACACUGACGCUCAUGCACGAAAGCGUGGGGAGCAAACAGGAUUAGAUAGCCCUGGUAGUCCACGCCCUAAAACCGAUGUCAACUAGUUGUCGGGUCUUAAUUGACUUGGUAACGCAGCUAACGCGUGAAGUUGACCGCCUGGGGAGUACGGUCGCAAGAUU